AUAUCGGUAGCACAGUGGUCAGUGCAGUCUCCCGGAAGCAGAAAGACACGAGUUCAAUUCCCGACCGAUGUC
rfam:Nippostrongylus brasiliensis genome assembly, scaffold: NBR_scaffold0000025